UACGUAGGGGGCAAGCGUUGUCCGGAAUCAUUGGGCGUAAAGAGCGCGUAGGCGGUCCGGUAAGUCCGCUCUGAAAGUCCGGGGCUCCACCCCGGGAGGCGGGCGGAUACUGUCGGGCUAGAGUCCGGAAGAGGCGAGUGGAAUUCCUGGUGUAGCGGUGAAAUGCGCAGAUAUCAGGAGGAACACCAAUGGCGAAGGCAGCUCGCUGGGACGGUACUGACGCUGAGGCGCGAAAGCGUGGGGAGCAAACAGG
rnacentral:rRNA from 1 species